AUAUAAGUUACAAAGGGCUUAUGGUGGAUGCCUUGGGACUGAUAACGAUGAAGGUCGUGCCAAUCUGCGAUAAGUUACGGCUAGCCGAUAAGGGGCUAUUACCCGUAAAUGACCGAAUGAGGAAACUCAUCUAAUAGAGAUAUUAGAUAUCAUUAACUGAAUUCAUAGGUUAAUGAAGUGAUACCUGGUGAAGUGAAACAUCUCAGUAGCCAGAGGAAAAGAAAACAAAGUGAUUCUGUAAGUAGCGGCGAGCGAAAGCGGAACAGGCCAAACCAUCUUUAGAGGUGGGGUUAUAGCACUGCAAUGUGGACUUAGAUAAGAUAGCAGAAGUAGUUGGGAAGCUACACAAUAUAGGGUGAUAGUCCCGUAUGCGAAAUCUUAUCUAUACCUAGCAGGAUGCUGAGUAAGUCGAAACACGCGAAAUUUUGACCGAAGUCAGCGCGACCAUGCGCUAAGCCUAAAUAUAAAUCAGUCACCGAUAGCGAAUAGUACCGUGAGGGAAAGGUGAAAAGAACCCAGUGAUGGGAGUGAAAUAGACUCUGAAACCAUUAGCCUACAACGAGUUAGAGCUCAUUUAUGAGUGAUAGCGUGCGUUUUGAAGUAUGAGCCGGCGAGUUAUUGUUGCAUGCAAAGUUAAGUCGUAGAGACGUAGCUGUAGGGAAACCGAGUCUGAAUAGGGCGAAUUAGUAUGUAGCAAUAGACCCGAAACGGGAUGAUCUAGUUAUGAGCAGGUUGAAGGUUGAGUAACAUCAACUGGAGGACCGAACCCACUUUCGUUGAAACGACAGGGGAUGACUUGUGACUAGGGGUGAAAUUCCAAUCGAAUUCCGUGAUAGCUGGUUCUCGUCGAUAUAAUUUUAGGAUUAGCGUUAGAUUAUUGAAGUUGUGGAGGUAAAGCUCUGACUGACUGAUGGCGCCACCUCGGCGUACUGAUUUCAAUUAAACUCUGAAUGCCAUAACUUCUAUUCUAGCAGUCAGACUGUGGGGGAUAAGCUUCAUAGUCGUGAGGGUAAGAGCCCAGAUCAUUAGCUAAGGUCCCUAAAUUACACUAAGUGGAAAAGGAUGUUGGAGAUCUUAAACACCAAGGAUGUUGGCUUAGAAGCAGCCAUCGUUUAAAGAGUGCGUAACAGCUCACUUGUCGAGAUCUCCUGCGCCGAAGAUUCAACGGGGCUAAAGUGUAAUACCGAAGCUAUGGAAUAAUAGCAAUAUUAUUGGUAGACGAGCGUUGUAUACCGGGAUGAAGGUAGAGUGUGAACACUACUGGACUGUAUACAAGUGAGAAUGCCGGCGUGAGUAACGUAUGAAAGUGAGAAUCUUUCAAGCCGAAUUGACUAAGGUUUCCAGGACGAGGGUCGUCCUUCCUGGGUUAGUCGGAACCUAAGAUGAGGCCGCAAGGCGUAGUCGAUGGUAAGCAAGUUAAUAUUCUUGCACUUAGUAUAUGAAUGAUGGAGUAACGGAGAAGGUUAAUGCAGGCCAGUAAUUGGAUUUUAUUGGUUUAAGUAUUAAGUCUGGCAAGUUGGCAAACCCGCUUGCUAUUCAAAGGAUAAGAUACGAACAGUAAUGAAAACUUCGGUAAGUAAAUAAGCUGUAUACAUCACGCUUCCAAGAAAAACUUCUAAGUAUAUCAUAUAUUAAUCCGUACUGAGAACGAACACACGUGGUCAAGGAGAAUAUCCUAAGGCUAGCGAGUUAACUAUUGUUAAGGAACUCUGCAAAUUAGCCCCGUAAGUUAGCGAUAAGGGGUACUGUUAGUAAUAACAGUCACAGUAAAGAGCGAGGGGGAACUGUUUAUCAAAAACACAGCUUUAUGCUAAGUCGUAAGACGAUGUAUAUGAGGUGACGCCUGCCCAGUGCUGGAAGGUUAAGGAAGUGGGUUAGUCGCAAGACAAAGCUCGUAACCGAAGCCCCAGUGAACGGCGGCCGUAACUAUAACGGUCCUAAGGUAGCGAAAUUCCUUGUCGGGCAAAUUCCGUCCCGCUUGAAUGGCGUAAUCAUCUCUUGACUGUCUCGACAAUAGACUCGGUGAAAUCCUGGUGUGGGUGCAGACGCCCACUUGGCGUGAUUGGACGGAAAGACCCCAUGAAGCUUUACUGUAACUUAAUAUUGAAACAAUAACUUGUAUUUAGAGCAUAGGUGGGAGACUUUGAACCAGUGUCGCUAGAUACUGCGGAGUCACUCUUGUAAUACCACCAUUAUGAUUUAUUUUUUCUAACUUCCAUCUGUAAUCCAGAUAAAGGACAGUGUUAGGCGGGCAGUUUGACUGGGGCGGUCGCCUCCCAAAAGGUAACGGAGGCGCGCAACGGUACACUCAGCACGGUUGGAAAUCGUGUGACGAGCGUAAUGGUAUAAGUGUGCUUGACUGCGAGAAUUACACUUCGAGCAGGUAAGAAAUUAGGUCAUAGUGAUCCGGUGGUUCAGAAUGGAAUGGCCAUCGCUCAACGGAUAAAAGCUACUCUGGGGAUAACAGGCUGAUACUGACCAAGAGUUCAUAUCGACGUCAGUGUUUGGCACCUCGAUGUCGACUCAUCUCAUCCUGGGGCUGUAGUAGGUCCCAAGGGUUCGGCUGUUCGCCGAUUAAAGAGAUACGUGAGUUGGGUUCAAACCGUCGUGAGACAGGUUGGUCCCUAUCUGUCAUGCCCGUAGGAAGAUUGAGAAGAGCUGCUCCUAGUACGAGAGGAUCGGAGUGGAGAUACCUCUAAUGUUUCAGUUGUUUUGCCAAAAGCACAGCUGGGUAGUUACGUAUCGAAUGGAUAAGCGCUGAAAGCAUAUAAGCGUGAAGCCACCUUCAAGAUUAUUCUUCCCCGCCUUCGCAAGAAGGCAUAAGAAUCGUUGUAGAUGACAACGUUGAUAGGAUACAUGUGCAAGUACCGCGAGGUAUUUAGCUGAGUAUUACUAAUAAUUCGAACGACUUAUAAGU
rnacentral:rRNA from 1 species